rnacentral:rRNA from 1 species
GACGAACGCUGGCGGCGUGCUUAACACAUGCAAGUCGAACGGAGAGGCCCUGCUUUUGUGGGGUGCUCGAGUGGCGAACAGGUGAGUAACACGUGAGUAACCUGCCCUUGACUUUGGGAUAACUUCAGGAAACUGGGGCUAAUACCGGAUAGGAGCUCCUGCUGCAUGGUGGGGGUUGGAAAGUUUCGGCGGUUGGGGAUGGACUCGCGGCUUAUCAGCUUGUUGGUGGGGUAGUGGCUUACCAAGGCUUUGACGGGUAGCCGGCCUGAGAGGGUGACCGGCCACAUUGGGACUGAGAUACGGCCCAGACUCCUACGGGAGGCAGCAGUGGGGAAUAUUGCACAAUGGGCGGAAGCCUGAUGCAGCAACGCCGCGUGCGGGAUGACGGCCUUCGGGUUGUAAACCGCUUUCGCCUGUGACGAAGCGUGAGUGACGGUAAUGGGUAAAGAAGCACCGGCUAACUACGUG